UAUAUGGAUGCCCACUUUUUCAUCAUAUUUACAACUUGGCGCCAUAGGUUCAGAUCUCUUCAAUUUGAGAAUCGGUCCUAUGGGGUUCUCCACGAAAGUUUAUAAAGUUCAUAACAUUUGGGCGCAAGGUCUACUAUUUUUUCGAGUUCGUUAACUUGCAAUAUUGAGAUUAGUCCAUGAACUCCAUGGAUGAGGAGAAAUCAAUUCAUUCAAAGUCUACCUCAAUAUAAAGUAGUAUGGUUCGUAGUCGGAAGACUUUGCGGGAGAGGAGGAGAACAUUGACAAAGACAUCAUCGAAGAAAGAGCUGAGCUGAAUAUGUUUGUUCUUUAGGGAAAGAACUUUGUUUGGUGUUCAGAUGGUCGGAUAGGGAGCUCCAAACCCAGAUCAUUGCAAAUCUGGGUUGAGAAGAGUAGCAAUGGAGGUGUUUCCUUAGCAGUACGUAUGGUGGCUGAGUUCCUUGGCUGAGGGUGGCUUCUGAGUUCCUUUCGUUGGAAUAGUACUUGUGGGGGAAGGUGGUGGUGCCUUGGUUGGCGGGUUUGAUGUCCUUUUAAAGUCAGAUUUUCAUCCUCCUGCUAUGCAUUUUGGAGUGUUGCUGUAUCAAUCUCUGUUUCCUCCUAAGCUUGUUAGUGGGUUGUUUCAUUGGCUGGACAUUAUAAGGUAUUGUUAACCAGCUCUUUAAGAUAUCGUGCUGGUAAAGAAAGCAUUGCAUUUGAAGGACAAGUAUCGAUCUCUUGAAAGCAUUUACACAUUGAUUCUACUUGAGCUUUCUUGUUGAUGGAUUUGUUUAGGUUAAAUUUUUCACUACUGAAAGCACGCUUGAAGUGCAUUAUGUCUAAAUAACUCUUUGACCUAUGAUGGAUUGUUGCUGUUUUAAUAACUUACUCUUUAUAAAA